CACGGCUUGAACCCCCGCGGGCGAGGCGAGCGUCCGGGCACCAGGACUCGGCACCGGGCCCUCCCCCACUCCCCCCCAGUGUGUUGGGUUUCAUGACCCUUUCCUCUCGUCGCCGCGGAGGGGAACCUGAUCCCGGGCCGGGCGAGAGCUUGAGCCCACUAGGAAUGGCAGCCCCGUCUAUGAAAGAAAGGCAGGCUUGCUGGGGAGCCCGGGAUGAGUACUGGAAGUGUUUAGAUGAGAACACAGAGGACGCUUCUCAGUGCAAGAAGUUAAGAAGCUCAUUUGAAUCCAGUUGUCCCCAACAGUGGAUAAAAUAUUUUGAUAAAAGAAGAGACUACUUAAAGUUCAAAGAAAAAUUUGAAGCAGGACAGUUCCAGCCAUCGAAAACAACUGCGAAGUCCUAGGCUGCUCCUGGACUUUUCAGAAGGUUUGAAAUUAUUCUUUUUGAACUUGCAGAAAUGCUCCACUGACUAUGGGACGGUAGAGGUUUGACUCAAUCGUGGUGAACUGCACGACUCAGUCCACAUAAACAACUCUUUAAAAUAAUCAAGUAACAAGAUUCCAUCACACUAUGAAGAAUCGAAAUGGCGUAUCUUACGGAUCUAAAUACAGGCGGACCUUGGAGGUAGUGUAGUUUCGGUUCCCGACCACUGCAGCGAAGCAGGUCCCACAGUUAAGCAAGUCCGAUGAGUUUGGUAUUUCUCCGUGGACUUCCCCUACUGAAGUCCGGAACUCCUCAAAGUCAUCCAUGGGGGCUGGAAUCCUCUUCUUCCAAACUCCUGUUAAUGUCGUGUUCACCUCUUCCCGUGAGUCACAUGUUCUUCAUGGCAUCUAGAAUGGAGAACCCUUUCCGGGCCUACUCUGCCCAGAUGCAGAAGAGCCACUAUCUCCGGCAGCUCUAGUUUUACAAAAUGUAUUUCUGAAAGAAUAAGGCUUGAAAGUCCAAGUGACUCCUUGAUCCGUGGGCUGCAGAAUGGAUGCUGGGUUGGCAGGAAUGAAAACCACAACCUGGCUGCCCGUCUCCAGAGCUGGUGGCUAAGCAGGGGCAUCGCCAACAGGCAGGAAUAUUUUAAAAGUUUUUUUUUUUUUUUUUUGAGCAGUAGGUCUCAACAGUGGGUUUAAAAUAUUCAGUAAACCGUGUUGUAAGCAGAUGUGCUGUCAUCCAGGCUUUGUUGUUCCAUUUACACGGCACAGGUUUCUGUUUAAAGUCACCAGCUGCAGUAGCCCCUCACAAGACAGGCAGCCUGUCCUUUGAAGCCAGACAUGGACUUCUGCUCUCUAGGUGUGAAAGUCUUAGAUGGCAUCUUCUUCCGAACAAGGCUGUUUUCGCUACACUGAACGUCUGUUGUUGAGCGUAGCCACCCUCACUGAUUAGCUUAUAUCUGGGUAACUUGCUGCUUUACCUGCCACUUUGAUGUUAAGGAAAUGGCUUCCUUCCUUAAGCCUCAUGAACCAACCUCUGCUAGCUUAGGACUUCUCCUCUGUAGCUGCUUCACUAAAAUUGAAGAAUUAGGGCCUUGCCCUGGAUUAGGCUUUGGCUUCAGGGAAUGCUGUAGCUGGUUUGAUCUAUCCAGAGCACUAACAUUUUCUCUGUACCAGUGAUAAGGCUGUUUCACUUUCUUAUUCAUGUGUUCAGCAGACUGGCAUUUUUUUUUUUUUAAGAUUUUAUUUAUUUAUUAGCACAGUAGGGGGAAGGAGAGGGAGAAGCAGACUCCCCACUGAGUAGGG